GCCCAGGGAGACUGAGGAGAACCUCCGGGAACAGGAAGAGGAUCCCCAAGAGGUAGCCAGGAGGAACUGCUAUGACCCCUUAGGUGUUCACAAGAUGAGUCCGUUUCAGGCUGAUGUUCCCCUGUGGAGAUGAAGAGUGCUCUGCUCUUCUGGGUCCCGUAGCCACCGCCAUCCACAGUCGAAGGCCAUUCCCAAGCAGAAUGGGUUUCAGGGAGUCGCGCGCCUUUCGCCUUGUCUCCAGGAGUGUGGUUUUCUAAAGGAUGAAGAAAGAGUUUCUCAACUUGCCACUCCACACGCCAGCCCUCUCUUUUCUGCCGUCCACUGCUUCACCAGGUUGCAGGUCCAGAUUUCUGCC